GACGAAGGAGGCUAGCGUUGUUCGGAAUUACUGGGCGUAAAGCGAGUGUAGGUGGUUGUCAUAGUCAGGCGUGAAAGCCCUGAGCUCAACUCAAGAAAUGCGCUUGAUACUGGGCAGCUAGAGGACCGGAGAGGAUAGUGGAAUUCCCAGUGUAGUGGUGAAAUACGUAGAGAUUGGGAAGAACACCAGUGGCGAAGGCGGCUAUCUGGACGGUUUCUGACACUAAGACUCGAAAGCGUGGGGAGCAAACAGG
rnacentral:rRNA from 1 species